rnacentral:rRNA from 1 species
GGGUCAGUAGGUUGGUCGUGCCACCGGUACGUACUGGUCUCACUGAUUCCUCCUUCCUGAAGAACUGUAAUGCCAUUAAUUUGGUGUUGCGGGGAAACCGGACUGUUACUUUGAAAAAAUUAGAGUGUUUAAAGCAAGCUAACGCUUGAAUACAUUAGCAUGGAGUAAUGAAAUAGGACGAUCGAUCCUAUUUUGUUGGUUUCUAGGAUUGACGUA